GCUUUCUCUUUUUUUUGAUUUUGAAUUUAUGUUUUAAAAUGUUGGCUUUUCUACGCCCUUUCUUAUAUACCAUCGAUAUAAAAGACCUAAUGGGAUUGUAUAUGAGUUGUCAUGAAACCCGUUUGAACUCGCUUUAAGUUUCUGUACCAGUCCUUAGUCUGGUAUCUACUCUGUAUUUGUUGCUUUUUUCAAUAAAGAAUUUGUAUUGGUGUAUUUGACCGUCUCUGGCAGAGCCAAAAGAGAAAUGUGCAAACGACAUGUGCAAAUGUCUAUUGUUAAAACCCGU
rnacentral:lncRNA from 1 species